rnacentral:rRNA from 1 species
GAGAGGGAGCCUGAGAAACGGCUACCACAUCCAAGGAAGGCAGCAGGCGCGCAAAUUACCCAAUCCCGACAUGGGGAGGUAGUGACAAUAAAUAACAAUACAGGGUUCUUUUGGAUCUUGUAAUUGGAAUGAGUACAAUUUAAAUCUCUUAACGAGGAACAAUUGGAGGGCAAGUCUGGUGCCAGCAGCCGCGGUAAUUCCAGCUCCAAUAGCGUAUAUUAAAGUUGUUGCAGUUAAAAAGCUCGUAGUUGAAUUUCAGGAUCAAGGAAUCGGUCAUGCCUUGGUAUGUACUGGUUUUAUUGGUUCUCACCUUCUAAAGAACCAUAAUGUCAUUCAUUUGAUGUUAUGGGGAAUUAGGACUGUUACCUUGAAAAAAUUAGAGUGUUUAAAGCAGGCUUACGCUUGAAUACAUUAGCAUGGAAUAAUGAAAUAGGACAUCAGAUUCUAUUUUGUUGGUUUCUAGGAUCGAUGUAAUGAUUAAUAGGGAUAGUUGGGGGCAUUAGUAUUCAAUUGUCAGAGGUGAAAUUCUUGGAUUUAUUGAAGACUAACUACUGCGAAAGCAUUUGCCAAGGAUGUUUUCAUUAAUCAAGAACGAAAGUUAGGGGAUCGAAGACGAUCAGAUACCGUCGUAGUCUUAACCAUAAACUAUGCCGACUAGGGAUCGGAUGAUGUUAAUUUUUUAAUGACUCAUUCGGCACCUUA